rnacentral:rRNA from 1 species
GAUGAACGCUGGCGGCGUGCCUAAUACAUGCAAGUCGAGCGAACGGACGAGAAGCUUGCUUCUCUGAUGUUAGCGGCGGACGGGUGAGUAACACGUGGAUAACCUACCUAUAAGACUGGGAUAACUUCGGGAAACCGGAGCUAAUACCGGAUAAUAUUUUGAACCGCAUGGUUCAAAAGUGAAAGACGGUCUUGCUGUCACUUAUAGAUGGAUCCGCGCUGCAUUAGCUAGUUGGUAAGGUAACGGCUUACCAAGGCAACGAUGCAUAGCCGACCUGAGAGGGUGAUAGGCCACCAUGGAAAUGAGACACGGUCCAGACUCCUACGGGAGGCAGCAGUAGGGAAUCUUCCGCAAUGGGCGAAAGCAUGACGGAGCAACGCCGCGUGAGUGAUGAAGGUCUUCGGAUCGUAAAACUCUGUUAUUAGGGAAGAACAUAUGUGUAAGUAACUGUGCACAUAUUGACGGUACCUAAUCAGAAAGCCACGGCUAACUACGUG